rnacentral:rRNA from 1 species
AGAAUCAACGCUGGCGGCGUGCCUAACACAUGCAAGUCGAACGAGAAAGUGGAGCAAUCCAUGAGUAAAGUGGCGACCGGGUGAGUAACACGUGACUAACCUACCUUCGAGUGGGGGAUAACCUCGGGAAACCGAGGCUAAUACCGCAUAACAUCGCAAGAUCAAAGCAGCAAUGCGCUGGAAGAGGGGGUCGCGGCUGAUUAGCUAGUUGGCGGGGUAAUGGCCCACCAAGGCGAAGAUCGGUAGCCGGCCUGAGAGGGCGCACGGCCACACUGGAACUGAAACACGGUCCAGACUCCUACGGGAGGCAGCAGUGGGGAAUUUGCGCAAUGGGGGAAACCCUGACGCAGCAACGCCGCGUGGAGGAUGAAAGCCCCUUGGGGUGUAAACUCCUUUCGACCAAGACGAUAAUGACGGUACUGGUGGAAGAAGCACCGGCUAAACUCUGCGCCAGCAGCCGC